GGUGAGUAAUGUCUGGGAAACUGCCUGAUGGAGGGGGAUAACUACUGGAAACGGUAGCUAAUACCGCAUAACGUCGCAAGACCAAAGAGGGGGACCUUCGGGCCUCUUGCCAUCGGAUGUGCCCAGAUGGGAUUAGCUAGUAGGUGGGGUAACGGCUCACCUAGGCGACGAUCCCUAGCUGGUCUGAGAGGAUGACCAGCCACACUGGAACUGAGACACGGUCCAGACUCCUACGGGAGGCAGCAGUGGGGAAUAUUGCACAAUGGGCGCAAGCCUGAUGCAGCCAUGCCGCGUGUAUGAAGAAGGCCUUCGGGUUGUAAAGUACUUUCAGCGGGGAGGAAGGGAGUAAAGUUAAUACCUUUGCUCAUUGACGUUACCCGCAGAAGAAGCACCGGCUAACUCCGUGCCAGCAGCCGCGGUAAUACGGAGGGUGCAAGCGUUAAUCGGAAUUACUGGGCGUAAAGCGCACGCAGGCGGUUUGUUAAGUCAGAUGUGAAAUCCCCGGGCUCAACCUGGGAACUGCAUCUGAUACUGGCAAGCUUGAGUCUCGUAGAGGGGGGUAGAAUUCCAGGUGUAGCGGUGAAAUGCGUAGAGAUCUGGAGGAAUACCGGUGGCGAAGGCGGCCCCCUGGACGAAGACUGACGCUCAGGUGCGAAAGCGUGGGGAGCAAACAGGAUAGAUACCCUGGUAGUCCACGCCGUAAACGAUGUCGACUUGGAGGUUGUGCCCUUGAGGCGUGGCUUCCGGAGCUAACGCGUUAAGUCGACCGCCUGGGGAGUACGGCCGCAAGGUUAAAACUCAAAUGAAUUGACGGGGGCCCGCACAAGCGGUGGAGCAUGUGGUUUAAUUCGAUGCAACGCGAAGAACCUUACCUGGUCUUGACAUCCACAGAACUUUCCAGAGAUGGAUUGGUGCCUUCGGGAACUGUGAGACAGGUGCUGCAUGGCUGUCGUCAGCUCGUGUUGUGAAAUGUUGGGUUAAGUCCCGCAACGAGCGCAACCCUUAUCUUUUGUUGCCAGCGGUCCGGCCGGGAACUCAAAGGAGACUGCCAGUGAUAAACUGGAGGAAGGUGGGGAUGACGUCAAGUCAUCAUGGCCCUUACGACCAGGGCUACACACGUGCUACAAUGGCGCAUACAAAGAGAAGCGACCUCGCGAGAGCAAGCGGACCUCAUAAAGUGCGUCGUAGUCCGGAUUGGAGUCUGCAACUCGACUCCAUGAAGUCGGAAUCGCUAGUAAUCGUGGAUCAGAAUGCCACGGUGAAUACGUUCCCGGGCCUUGUACACACCGCCCGUCACACCAUGGGAGUGGGUUGCAAAAGAAGUAGGUAGCUUAACCUUCGGGAGGGCGCUUACCACUUUGUGAUUCAUGACUGGGGUGAAGUCGGAACAAGGUA
rnacentral:rRNA from 1 species